rnacentral:rRNA from 1 species
AGCAGCCGCGGUAACACCGAGGGUGCGAGCGUUAAUCGGAUUUACUGGGCGUAAAGCGUGCGUAGGCGGCUUCUUAAGUCGGAUGUGAAAUCCCUGAGCUUAACUUAGGAAUUGCAUUCGAUACUGGGAAGCUAGAGUAUGGGAGAGGAUGGUAGAAUUCCAGGUGUAGCGGUGAAAUGCGUAGAGAUCUGGAGGAAUACCGAUGGCGAAGGCAGCCAUCUGGCCUAAUACUGACGCUGAGGUACGAAAGCAUGGGGAGCAAACAGGAUUAGAUACCCGCGUAGUCCCUGUCUCUUAUACC